rnacentral:rRNA from 1 species
UACGAAGGGGGCUAGCGUUGCUCGGAUUGACUGGGCGUAAAGGGCGCGUAGGCGGUUUGCAUAGUCAGACGUGAAAUUCCUGGGCUUAACCUGGGGGCUGCGUUUGAUACAUGCAGGCUUGAGUUCGGAAGAGGGUCGUGGAAUUCCCAGUGUAGAGGUGAAAUUCGUAGAUAUUGGGAAGAACACCGGUGGCGAAGGCGGCGACCUGGUCCGAUACUGACGCUGAGGAGCGAAAGCCAGGGGAGCAAACGGG